UUCUAGAAUAAUGUUCAUUAUUAUAAAUAUAAGCACGAUGCUUGGCAAAUAAUUGUUGGUAACACUUAAAGAAAUAUCUGAUACGAAAAAAGGAAUUCUUACUUUGGUUGACAAUAAGUGAUUAAUCUUCUUCAGUUUGAUCAAUCUUAUUGCAAUAUCUAGAAAUUCCUCCAAUUUUUUAGUUAUUAUUAAAAGUUUCAAUUAAAAAAAAAAACAUUCAUUUGCUUUGACUUUCUUGCAUUUUUGUUUAACUUACGUUAUGAAGCUUACUUCAAUCCCCAUUGCUUCCACAUUGCUCUCUUUGCUCGCUGCCUCGGGCACAUUAGCUUCACCGUUGCAUAAGCGUGAUGACCCUUUGAACAACAAGCAAUUUGGCCUAAUGUCUAUUCAUUCUGGCAACAGUUAUGUCCACUUGCACCCUUUCUAUGUAGGAGACUCUGGCGCUAUUUACCUGGAUCCUACUGAUGGUACCAGUACUAGUGCUGUCUUUUCUAUGAGUAACGGAAGACUGGUUGUCGGAAAUCUUUACGCUUCGGUUGACAGCAAUGGCACCACUAUUUUCAAAUCUGAUGCUAAUGCAGCUUCCACUAAGUUCAGUGCUGGUGAUGCUACUAAUGUUGGAUACAAUCUUCUAUAUAAUGGAACCCAAUCUGCGGUAGCUUGUCCUGCUAGUGAUAAUGAUCAGGUCUACCAAGUAUACUUCGGAGCCGGAAAUGGUAACCCCAAUUGUGCAGGUAUUGCUAUUGAGGCCUUCGUGUCUCCAUCCUCUUCUUCUUCUUCUUCUAGUUCAGCUGCUACUUCAACUUCAACUCGCGUUUCAUCGUCUGCUAAAGCAAGCACUUCUAGUGGGGCAAUUGCUUACACCACCAAAUGUGUUGUUGUUCCUGUUACAGCAUCGGCUACUGCCACGGCAAAAGCUGCAUCCGCAGCAGCUUCCUCAGCUGUUUACCCUCUUUUCCCACAUGGAAUUCGUUUGAUCGAUUCUGCUAACCCCAGUUCCAACUCCGGUAAUGUUUACUCUCCAGUCGUCUUUCAGAAGCAAAACAAUCAUACCAACACGAUUUUCACAUUUGAUGUUCCUCAAGUUUCCGGCAGUUGCGAACUCAACCUACAUCUCGAUACUAGCGGUUUCCCCAUCACUGUUGAAGGUGUUAAUGGCACUGGCCGAUUCAUUCUCUUCAACCUCUCCUCCGUUGCCAACGAUUCUACUGUCUACUCCAACCGUCCCAACCGCAUUGCCGAAAUUGGACGUUUCAACUGCUCUAGCUCUGGUUGCGAUUAUGCUACCAAUGUUACAUGCCCCGACUCUUAUACUGCGGUCUCUUAUGAAAUGAUGGCUCUCACUGAUGACUCUUAUUUGAGUUUCUUUGAAGAAGCCGAUCCUCUUGAGGGAUUAACUUUACGAGUUUAAAGUAUUAUGAACUCCAGCUUGCAUUGUUUAGUUUACUUAAUUAAUAUUAAAUCUUUAAACCCUUGUCUCUCCAUUUUUUUCUUGUGCUUGUUUCCGGCAUAGCAGAGUCUAGUAUUUGAUAGACAGGUUGUAUUGUAGGCGAGACUUUAGCGAUGCUUGUUUUAUGAUUGAUAUAAUGCCUUAAAAUUAGAAAUGCUACAACUCUAAUAUGUCAGCAACUUUACGC
rnacentral:lncRNA from 1 species